UCGGGGUACUCGAGUGGCGAACGGGUGAGUAACACGUGGGUGAUCUGCCCUGCACUUUGGGAUAAGCCUGGGAAACUGGGUCUAAUACCGGAUAGGACCACGCGCUUCAUGGUGUGUGGUGGAAAGCUUUUGCGGUGUGGGAUGGGCCCGCGGCCUAUCAGCUUGUUGGUGGGGUAAUGGCCUACCAAGGCGACGACGGGUAGCCGGCCUGAGAGGGUGACCGGCCACACUGGGACUGAGAUACGGCCCAGACUCCUACGGGAGGCAGCAGUGGGGAAUAUUGCACAAUGGGCGCAAGCCUGAUGCAGCGACGCCGCGUGAGGGAUGACGGCCUUCGGGUUGUAAACCUCUUUCAAUAGGGACGAAGCGCAAGUGACGGUACCUAUAGAAGAAGGACCGGCCAACUACGUGCCAGCAGCCGCGGUAAUACGUAGGGUCCGAGCGUUGUCCGGAAUUA
rnacentral:rRNA from 2 species